UCAAAUGAUGAAUAACUAUGCGUGAACAAUCUCUGAUUGAUACAAAUAACGCUUGUAUCAAAGGAUUAAAAAACAUGUUGCCUUCCUUCUGAAUUGACUUAUAAGUAAAAACCUCUAUUUUAUUCUUUUU